rnacentral:lncRNA from 1 species
AGAUAUCCUAGCUAGCUAACUCCCGGCGGGAUCGCUGUGAUCCGCGCAAGUCGCGCCAUCCCACGACCACUUCACACCGCGACUGGUUCCUACCGGGAGAGAAACUAGGGAAGAAAGCAAAACGUGGUUCGGACGUGCGUGCAAGCACUCCUCCCACUACUAAGUGCAUGCGCAGGUCACAUCCACCAUGCACAAGCCUUAUUUGAAAUAAGCAAACGAUAGAACGACCUGGACCCAAAGCAGCCGAGGGUCCAACUAGCUUAGCCUAAC